AUUGCUGCUGGGAUACCGAUAGCGAUAUGUAGCUUGCCGCUAAGCCUCGUGUCCGCUAACUUUUUGCCGUUUGGUAUUCGCGUUGACAACAGCGCCAUCGCAUCUUUGUAAUAUCCAAGAUGCAAGAGGAUGAAUAAUCAACGGCGGGGACUGUGCACUUUCUCAAGCUUUGGAAAGAUAAAAACACCCCUGCGCAACAGACUGAAGGAGAGGCACAUGGAUGUAUGCUGCAAGGUGGCCAUCGAUGGCCCAAACCAGGAGGUCUUUGACUAUAAAGACUGCAUCAGGAGAUUCUAUAGCAUGAAACCAAGGAGGGCCAAAUGUUCUGCCACUGGCUGUGCCUUGUGCAAAUAAAUGUAACUGAACCAAAUGU